AUGACUGAACACACCUGUGUUCAUCACACAGUGAUUGUGUUAAGUUCCAGUGAGAAUCGACAGAGGAAGCUGUGGGGGCAGGGGUGGGGAGGUGGAUGCUGGGGCAGCGGGGCUGCAGGCUGUUUUACGGAGUCUAGGGUUUCAGGUGGAAGAUGUGUUCGUGGGUUGACAGGUCGGACAGUGGAAGGAACAGGGCGUGACGGGAGGUGGCCCUUGUGUGUGGAGCAUGGGAGGCGGGGAGCCAAGCGGGGACCCGUGUGGACGAGAUGCAUGACCCCAGCACACAGAGGGUCUGGGCUGAGGGUCCUCCGGGGCCCAUCUUUCCAGCACGAAGCCCCAGGGAGGAGGGGUGGGCUCCCUCAGUUGUGCUGCAUGCCCAGAGCUCUCCAACUGCCACGGUCCCCUUGGGGUCCCCUCCUGGGAUGGCAGGAAGGCCCGUCCCUGGCGGUCUGGCUGCCCUUGCCUGUCAUGAAAACAAACCUGGGCCUUUGCGGGGCUUCAGAGACAAAGCUGUCCCAUGUCAGUCCACCGUCCCCUUCCGGAAGCCUGGUCUCAGUUGGACCCAUGGCCACUCACCUGGGGCCUCCCUGCCUCCCAGCCGGUCUCUCUGCCUCUGGCAGCCCCUCCACCCUCUGCCAGACCUCCCUGGGGCUUCUAGCUCCUUCCAGCUCCGUCCGAGGUCCUGGGGCCUGGGCCCGUCUCUGGGGCCUCGCCCCAUCUCCCCAGCGUCACCCCCUCUAUACCCAAGUUCCCGCCCUCAGGACUGCAGGACACGCCGGAGGACUAGACCCCUUGAGUUUUGUGUCUGGGUCCCUCCCCGCCCUCCCAGGCGACCUAAGACCCUCUGCCUGCAUUCUCCACCCCACCCAGGCAGGCGGCUCUGGGUGGUCCGGGGCUCAUCGCACACGGUGCUUCCCUGCUCCGGACUGUGAGCCCUGGAGGACAGCCGUCUGGCUGGUGGGGUGCGCCCUGGCCUGCACACAGUGGGGCCGCGUGGAGCUGCAGAGGCCCUUCGGGACCCGGGUGUGGUGGGCAGGCCCUCGUGUUGUGAGGAAUCCGGGCUGGGGGCUCCCCUGGAGCUGGCCAGCUCCUGAUCCUGCUGAGGAGGCCCAGUAA
rnacentral:lncRNA from 1 species